rnacentral:piRNA from 1 species
ACAUCUGGCUUAGGAUUCUGUGAGAUGC